GACGAACGCUGGCGGCGUGCUUAACACAUGCAAGUCGAACGGUAAGGCCCUUCGGGGUACACGAGUGGCGAACGGGUGAGUAACACGUGGGUGAUCUGCCCUGCACUUCGGGAUAAGCCUGGGAAACUGGGUCUAAUACCGGAUAGGACCACUGCCUGCAUGGGUGGUGGUGGAAAGCUUUUGCGGUGUGGGAUGGGCCCGCGGCCUAUCAGCUUGUUGGUGGGGUGAUGGCCUACCAAGGCGACGACGGGUAGACGGCCGGAGAGGGUGACCGGCCACACUGGGACUGAGAUACGGCCCAGACUACUACGGGAGGCAGCAGUGGGGAAUAUUGCACAAUGGGCGCGAGCCUGAUGCAGCGACGCCGCGUGAGGGAUGACGGCCUUCGGGUUGUAAACCUCUUUCAGCACCGACGAAGCGCAAGUGACGGUAGGUGCAGAAGAAGGACCGGCCAACUACGUGCCAGCCGCCGCCGUAA
rnacentral:rRNA from 1 species